rnacentral:rRNA from 1 species
AACGAACGCUGGCGGCAUGCCUAACACAUGCAAGUCGAACGAGACCUUCGGGUCUAGUGGCGCACGGGUGCGUAACGCGUGGGAACCUGCCUUUAGGUUCGGAAUAACUCAGAGAAAUUUGAGCUAAUACCGGAUAAUGUCUUCGGACCAAAGAUUUAUCGCCUUUAGAUGGGCCCGCGUAAGAUUAGGUAGUUGGUGGGGUAAUGGCCUACCAAGCCGACGAUCUUUAGCUGGUCUGAGAGGAUGAUCAGCCACACUGGGACUGAGACACGGCCCAGACUCCUACGGGAGGCAGCAGUGGGGAAUAUUGGACAAUGGGCGAAAGCCUGAUCCAGCAAUGCCGCGUGAGUGAUGAAGGCCUUAGGGUUGUAAAGCUCUUUUACCAGGGAUGAUAAUGACAGUACCUGGAGAAUAAGCUCCGGCUAACUCCGUGCCAGCAGCCGCCGUAAUAC